GUACAAUAGCCGGUUAUAGGCUGACUAAUUUCUUGGGAAGAAAAUCUAGUAGUUUGAUACAAAUAUAUGCUGAUUAUGUGCUAAAUCAUAUGUUGCUCUCAAAUUUUGUUUGCUCUCAUAAACCACUAACAAUUUUUUCUCAACUCUUAAGACUACAAUUGCAGUUCAACAAUUAUGGAAAUCUUUAACAAUAAUUAGGAAAGCUUUAAUCCACCUGCAGUUUCAGAUACAUCUUUAACAAUAAUUAGGAAAGCUUUAAUCCACCUGCAGUUUCAGAUACAAAUCAUUAACAAGUCAUAUGUUUCAAGAGUAGAAGUUGAUGAAAAGUUACUUCCCAUAAUUUAUCUCCUUGUAUCUUCCAUUUGUAGGCUUAGUUACCAAUAACAAAUCAUAUUCUAUCAUUUGGCUCUCCUAUUUUCUUCCUAUGAAUGCAUGGGAACUAGAUAAAUUUAAUUCACAGGAUAUGGGGGGUUUCAUGAAAUUGGUGUGCCAUUCUUCUACAUAAGACGGUAUGCUGACCUGUUGUAAAAUAAUUCUUUUUGGUACACGACAAGUCUAAGAAACUUUGUAGUCAAUGCUUUUGAGUUUGGCCAUAUUUCCCAGUUGAUUUGAAAAAGGGCACAAGUUGCUAUGAUUUGAAAUAGGGCAUUUUUUUAUGGUCCUCUUUUAAGUGACGAUAUAUGGUUUCAUGAUUCUAUCUUCUAUGUAAUAUGUAGGCCUUUUUUUAGUUCAUUUUGCUCCCCAAAACAUAUAUUUUCAGUUACUUCGAUGGUGUAUGUGUUGUAUACGUGCUGGAUCAUAUCUUGCACCCUAGUUAGUUCAGUUUCCUCUCAAAAGCCUCGUUCUUUUCCACUAGAUGAUGAUAAUAUAUGUUGUAUGUAUGCUGAUCGAAUCAUAUCUCGCUGUCUAGUUUGUUUUGCUCUCGUAAAGGUCUAAUAUAAUACUCAGUUUGCCGAAGAUGUAUGCUGUAUAUCACUUAAUCCGCUCAGUUCAAGUUGUUCUCUUAUGCUAAGUUGUAGUUAGGUUGAUAGAAUUUAUGCGAUGAAUUACUAAUUUGAUGUCCAUUCAGCUCAUUUUGCUCUCCUAAAACUCCAAUUUAGUUAGUUUGAUGAAUAUAUGUGUUGUAUAUGUUCUGGAUCAUAUCAUGCUAUAAGGUUUGUUCUUUGUCAUCUUAGAUAUUAAUUCUUUUUGACACGAUGUUUGACCUACAAUUGUGGUUUAUUUAUAAUAGCAACGAUAUGAGGCUGGGGGUCCUAGUAAUAUAGGUAUAGUGGCGAGGAUCUUUCCUUGUGGUCGCCUUGUUUUCAUAAGGUAAUCAGUUUAUAAGUCCUCAUCUAAUUAUCAGUUAAGUAUGCAUGCAAGUUGUGGCAAACAUACUUUUUAUGCCUGAUAUUUCAGUUUGCUCGCACAAAACUCUAAUCAUGGGUUAGCGUCACGGUUAUAUGCUGGUUAUUGUUGAAUCAUUUCUUGUGAUCUAAUUAGUCUAUAUUGAUCCCCUGACACUAAUACUUAAUCAAUUUAAUUAAUAUGUGGGUUUUGAUUAAUACAUAUGCUGGUUGUGUUGAAUCAUUUUUUGCUCUAUUAAUUGUUUUGUUUUCUCGCGUGAACUCCGCAUUAUGAUUUAGUUUGUUGACUAGUUGUGUGAUGUAUUAUACCUUCUUGCCCAAUUAGCUCAUUCUGCUCAUUUUCAGUUUGUUUGAUGAAAUAUAUUCAGCAUUGUGCUGAAUCAUAUCUUGCCAUUAAGUUUUGUUUGUUUUCGUAAACCUCCAAUACUUUUUGAUAGAAGUAUACGAUGUAUAUUGCUGAAUCUUAUCUUGCUAUUCAGUUUAGUUUGCUCUCUUAAACAUCUAUUUUUCAGUUAUGUUAUUAAUUAUAAUUCACAAUCUUUUUAUUCAUUUUGCUCUUCUAAAAGGCUUCUAAAAGUCAAGCAUCAGUAAGUUUAAUGAAUAUAUGCGUUGUAAUGCGCCUGGUCAGUUCAUUGUGCUAGUAUGAUGAGAUGGGUGGCUCAUCCUCUGUUUGCUGCAUCCGUCGUACAUGCAUGAGACAUUGUGUAGCUGUAUUAUAUUUAGUUUCAUAUUAGAUUCCAAACAUGCAUAUAAUUUUAGGCAGUGUUUGGAUUGGGGAUAAGGGGAGGGAUAACCCCUUAUCCCCCCCUUUAUACCCAAACGCAAAUUUUUUACCCGAGAAUAGUAGUUCUCGAGUACCUAAAAUAUUCUGAUAUAACUAUUUCCACCAACACCUUCAUUUUCUAUAUAUAACUACCCACUAUUUUUCUUAUUUCAUAUUAUCUAUCCAAACGCUAUUUUUCUUAUCUCCGGGAAGAAUUCAAUUUUCAUCCAAACGUUAUUUUUCUUAUCUCCAAACUUGUAUCUAUCCCUGUAAGAGCUAAUUCUUGCUUAUAUCCGAACCAAACGCUACUCAUAUGACAGCUUAUAGUUUUUGGAUUGGGUGGUUAGAGAAUGGGGAUGACUAAAGCAAGCGGGAGAGAAAUAAAAGGGAAAACAAUAUAUAUGAAACAAUUUGCAUUUUCAUGGUGCUGCGAUUUAGGUCAGAAGUAUUAUAAGGUAAUUGUGUGGCUAGAAAAUUUUGUUGAAAGAAAGUACACGUUUGCAAAAAAAGAAAAUAAAAUGUGUAGCUAAGAGGAUCCUGACACCCUCGUUAAGUUCAUAUGAAAAAAACCUAAAUUAAACUAAUGUAUCUAAAGAUUGAGUGCAACUAAUUUCUUGCCAAUGAGAUUUAAUGCGAAAUACUGAGUAAUUCAAAUUGGGUCUAGACAACAUCGCAAAGUCCGGUAGAUCAUCCCUUGCCUUCUAAGAUGCGCUUUGUUUUGGAGGUGCGGAACUAAUAGAUGGGGCCAACUAAUAAAUUCUUAGGUGUCUUGGUUCCUCUAUUUUAGGAAUGUUGUAUUGUACAAGUAGUCAGAUAUGAUUAUCUGAGAGAGUUGGCAGAUUGUUUUUAAGUUUAUGUGGUUUAAGCGGCGAAUGGUAAAAGUAGGCAUCCAAGUCGAACUUGAAACUAAGAUGUGGUUGGCUGAUAGUUUCUUUAUUCAAGUCAAACUUGGAACUUUUUAAUUAUAAAUAGGCAUUCAAAUUUUGUAUUUGUAAAUUUAGAUUUAAGCAAUAAAUGAUUUAUUGCUUUUAGAAAUCGCUUUUACGUAACGUAUAUGUUUUCCGCAUCC
rnacentral:lncRNA from 1 species